CUUGCUCUUCGGCGGUUAGCGGCGGACGGGUGAGUAACACGUAGGCAACCUGCCUGUACGACUGGGAUAACUCCGGGAAACCGGAGCUAAUACCGGAUACGUUUUUCAGACCGCAUGGUCUGAAAGAGAAAGACCUUUGGUCACGUACAGAUGGGCCUGCGGCGCAUUAGCUAGUUGGUGGGGUAACGGCCUACCAAGGCGACGAUGCGUAGCCGACCUGAGAGGGUGAUCGGCCACACUGGGACUGAGACACGGCCCAGACUCCUACGGGAGGCAGCAGUAGGGAAUCUUCCGCAAUGGACGAAAGUCUGACGGAGCAACGCCGCGUGAACGAUGAAGGUUUUCGGAUCGUAAAGUUCUGUUGUUAGGGAAGAACCGCCGGGAUGACCUCCCGGUCUGACGGUACCUAACGAGAAAGCCCCGGCUAACUACGUGCCAGCAGCCGCGGUAAUACGUAGGGGGCAAGCGUUGUCCGGAAUUAUUGGGCGUAAAGCGCGCGCAGGCGGCUUCUUAAGUCAGGUGUGAAAGCCCACGGCUCAACCGUGGAGGGCCACUUGAAACUGGGAGGCUUGAGUGCAGGAGAGGAGAGCGGAAUUCCACGUGUAGCGGUGAAAUGCGUAGAGAUGUGGAGGAACACCCGUGGCGAAGGCGGCUCUCUGGCCUGUAACUGACGCUGAGGCGCG
rnacentral:rRNA from 1 species